rnacentral:piRNA from 1 species
UGCAUCUGACUAUUUGGGCUGUAUGUU